rnacentral:rRNA from 2 species
GGGAUUGCCUCAGUAACGGCGAGUGAAGCGGCAACAGCUCAAAUUUGAAAUCUGGCCCUUCUGGGGUCCGAGUUGUAAUUUGUAGAGAGUGCUUCGGGGGAGACCGCGGUCUAAGUCCAUUGGAACAUGGCGUCCCAGAGGGUGAGAAUCCCGUAUGUGACCGCGGCUCGAGCCCAUGUGAAGCCUCUUCGACGAGUCGAGUUGUUUGGGAAUGCAGCUCUAAAUGGGUGGUAAAUUUCAUCUAAAGCUAAAUACUGGCUGGAGACCGAUAGCGCACAAGUAGAGUGAUCGAAAGAUGAAAAGCACUUUGGAAAGAGAGUUAAACAGUACGUGAAAUUGUUGAAAGGGAAGCGCUUGCAACCAGACCUGCCCGUAGGCGAUCAACCGCUGUUCUCAGCGGUGCACUCGUUCUGCGAUCAGGCCAGCAUCGGUUCGGGCGGUCGGAUAAAGGCCUUGGGAAUGUAGCUUCCCUUCGGGGGAGUCUUAUAGCCCUCGGUGCAAUGCGGCCAGCCGGGACCGAGGACCGCGCUUCGGCUAGGAUGCUGGCGUAAUGGUUGUAAGCGACCCGUCUUGAAACACGGACCAAGGAGUCUACCAUCUAUGCGAGUGUUUGGGUGUCAAACCCAUGCGCGAAAUGAAAGUGAACGGAGGUGAGAACCCUUAAGGGCGCAUCAUCGACCGAUCCAGAUGUCUUCGGAUGGAUUUGAGUAUGAGCAUGGCUGGUGGGACCCGAAAGAUGGUGAACUAUGCCUGAAUAGGGUGAAGCCAGAGGAAACUCUGGUGGAGGCUCGCAGCGGUUCUGACGUGCAAAUCGAUCGUCAAAUUUGGGUAUAGGGGCGAAAGACUAAUC